rnacentral:misc_RNA from 1 species
AACUGAUACUACCUGCGGGAACCUGCGGAAGGAUCAUUAAUGAAAUCAUAUUCUCCUUUGGAGUUUCUUCUAGCUGAUGCGUCUUUUGGCUGCACGCUGUUGUCACUCUUUAGGGGUUAUAUUUCCACAAACCCUUCUGUGCAUAUUGGGAGGCUUUAUUGUCCUCUCCUAAUUCAUAUACUCUAAUGUUUAAUCAUGUCAUACAAUGUUAAAUACAUUAAACAACUUUCAACAACGGAU